rnacentral:piRNA from 1 species
UCAAUUUUCAUAGUGUGGACUUGAGUCAGA